UACAGAGGGGGCAAGCGUUAUUCGGAAUUAUUGGGCGUAAAGGGCGCGUAGGCGGCCUGGCAAGUGGAUGGUGAAAUCCCUCGGCUUAACCGAGGAACUGCCAUCCAGACUGCUUGGCUUGAGACCGGGAGAGGUGAGUGGAAUUCCCAAUGUAGCGGUGAAAUGCGCAGAUAUUGGGAAGAACACCAGUGGCGAAGGCGGUUCUCUGGGACGGUACUGACGCUGAGACGCGAAAGCGUGGGGAGCGAACAGG
rnacentral:rRNA from 1 species